rnacentral:hammerhead_ribozyme from 1 species
AUCCAGAUGACGAAUCUCAAAUAGGAUGAAAUGCGCGUCAAACUAGAU